rnacentral:rRNA from 1 species
GACAACGCUGGCGGCGUGCCUAACACAUGCAAGUCGAGCGGAGUCGAUCGACGGAAGCCUUCGGGCGGAAGAUGGUUGACUUAGCGGCGGAUGGGUGAGUAACGCGUGGGCAACCUGCCUCGAAGACCGGGAUAACAGCCCGAAAGGGCUGCUAAUACCGGAUGUGGUCAAGGAUCCGCAUGGAUUUUGAUUAAAGGGGAAACCCGUUUCGAGAUGGGCCCGCGUCCUAUCAGCUAGUUGGUGAGGUAAAAGCUCACCAAGGCGACGACGGGUAGCCGGCCUGAGAGGGUGACCGGCCACACUGGAACUGAGACACGGUCCAGACUCCUACGGGGGGCAGCAGUGGGGAAUCUUCCACAAUGGGCGAAAGCCUGAUGGAGCGACGCCGCGUGAGCGAAGAAGGCCUUCGGGUUGUAAAGCUCUGUCUGGAGGGACGAAGGAAGUGACGGUACCUCCGGAGGAAGCCACGGCUAACUACGUG